rnacentral:rRNA from 1 species
UACGUAGGUGACAAGCGUUGUCCGGAUUUACUGGGCGUAAAGGGUGCGUAGGCGGGUCUUUAAGUCAGACGUGAAAUCCCCAGGCUCAACUUGGGAACUGCGUCUGAUACUGGAUGGCUUGAAUUCGGGAGAGGGAUGCAGAAUUCCAGGUGUAGCGGUGAAAUGCGUAGAUAUCUGGAGGAAUACCGGUGGCGAAGGCGGCAUCCUGGACCGAUAUUGACACUGAUGAGCGAAAGCUAGGGGAGCAAACGGG